UGUUGCUGCAUGUGGCUAACCAUCGUUGAUUUUGCAUGUCAGUUUCUAAGCCGAUAUCACCAACUAUGACUCUGACAUCCAAUGAAGCAGUCGAGGGCCAUGAUGCUUUUCUGACUGAAGCAACACAGCCUGGAGCCCAAAUCCCGAGGCUGUGCACCAAAGUCUUUCCCUGUUUGUCACUGGUACUGCUGCUAUUGAUUUAAAAAUCUAGUUCAAUAUGGGAAAAAUACACUUUACAAUCUCCUGGAACAUUCUGUCUCAGAGAGGACCGUGUCUACACUUCAAAGGAAAGACCAGAUCCUGGUGCUUUCCCACAAGAAGUUGCUCAAUGUGGCUACCAGGCAGGACAAACAUAAGCCUGUG
ensembl:lncRNA